GACGAACCGUGCAAACGUUGUUCGGAAUCACUGGGCUUAAAGGGCGCGUAGGCGGGCUGCCAAGUCCGGGGUGAAAUCCUUCGGCUUAACCGGAGAAUUGCCUGGGAUACUGGCGGCCUUGAGUGAGGUAGGGGCACGCGGAACUUCCGGUGGAGCGGUGAAAUGCGUUGAUAUCGGAAGGAACGCCGGUGGCGAAAGCGGCGUGCUGGCCCUCUUCUGACGCUGAGGCGCGAAAGCCAGGGGAGCGAACGGG
rnacentral:rRNA from 1 species